UUCGCCUGCUCCAAGCUCGUCUCCUCUCCCUCAUUGGUCAAGAGCACCUCACAGCUGCUGAGCCGUCAGCUAUCUGCAGUGGUGCUGAAAUGACCGGAGAUACUGACAGAUGAGAGCCUCAGCAGCUUGGCAGUCUCACGUCCCCUUACCUCACUUGUCUCUAGCCGCAGCUUCCAAACCAGCACCAUUUCAAGGGACAUCGACACAACAGCCAAGUUCACUGGAGCUGGGGCUGCCGCAGUUGGGGUGGCUGGCUCUGCGGCUCAGAUUGGGACUGUGUUUGGGAGCCUCAUCAUUGGUUAUGCCAGGAACCCUUCUCUGAAGCAACAGCUCUUCUCCUACGCCACUCUGGGCUUUGCCCUCUGAGACGCCAUGGGGUGCUUUUGCCUGAUGGUGGCCUUUCUCAUCCUCUCUGCCAUG
rnacentral:lncRNA from 1 species